rnacentral:rRNA from 1 species
GAUGAACGCUGGCGGCGUGCUUAACACAUGCAAGUCGAACGAAGCACUCAUGACAGAUUCUUCGGAUGAUGGAUUGAUUGACUGAGUGGCGGACGGGUGAGUAACGCGUGGGUAACCUGCCUCAUACAGGGGGAUAACAGUUAGAAAUGACUGCUAAUACCGCAUAAGCGCACAGUACCGCAUGGUACGGUGUGAAAAACUCCGGUGGUAUGAGAUGGACCCGCGUCUGAUUAGCUAGUUGGGGGGGUAACGGCCUACCAAGGCGACGAUCAGUAGCCGGCCUGAGAGGGUGAACGGCCACAUUGGGACUGAGACACGGCCCAAACUCCUACGGGAGGCAGCAGUGGGGAAUAUUGCACAAUGGGGGAAACCCUGAUGCAGCGACGCCGCGUGAGCGAUGAAGUAUUUCGGUAUGUAAAGCUCUAUCAGCAGGGAAGAAAAUGACGGUACCUGACUAAGAAGCACCGGCUAAAUACGUGCCAGCCGCCGCCGUAACAC